AGCGAACGCUGGCGGCAGGCCUAACACAUGCAAGUCGAACGAAGUCUUCGGACUUAGUGGCGGACGGGUGAGUAACACGUGGGAACGUACCUUUUGGUUCGGAACAACUCAGGGAAACUUGAGCUAAUACCGGAUGAGCCCUUAGGGGGAAAGAUUUAUCGCCGAAAGAGCGGCCCGCGUUAGAUUAGCUAGUUGGUGAGGUAAAGGCUCACCAAGGCUACGAUCUAUAGCUGGUCUGAGAGGAUGAUCAGCCACACUGGGACUGAGACACGGCCCAGACUCCUACAGGAGGCAGCAGUGUGGAAUCUUGCGCAAUGGGCGAAGGUCUGACGCAGCCAUGCCGCGUGAAUGAUGAAGGUCUUAGGAUUGUAAAAUUCUUUUACCAGGGACGAUAAUGACGGUACCUGGAGAAAAAGCCCCGGCUAACUUCGUGCCAGCCGCCGCCGUAAGAC
rnacentral:rRNA from 1 species